AGCGAACGCUGGCGGCAGGCCUAACACAUGCAAGUCGAACGAACCCUUCGGGGUUAGUGGCGGACGGGUGAGUAACACGUGGGAACGUGCCUUUAGGUUCGGAAUAACUCAGGGAAACUUGUGCUAAUACCGAAUGUGCCCUUCGGGGGAAAGAUUUAUCGCCUUUAGAGCGGCCCGCGUCUGAUUAGCUAGUUGGUGAGGUAAUGGCUCACCAAGGCUACGAUCAGUAGCUGGUCUGAGAGGAUGGCCAGCCACAUUGGGACUGAGACACGGCCCAAACUCCUCCGGGAGGCAGCAGUGGGGAAUCUUGCGCAAUGGGCGAAAGCCUGACGCAGCCAUGCCGCGUGGAUGAUGAAGGUCUUAGGAUUGUAAAAUCCUUUCACCGGUGAAGAUAAUGACUGUAGCCGGAGAAGAAGCCCCGGCUAACUUCGUGCCAGCCGCCGCGGUAACAC
rnacentral:rRNA from 1 species